rnacentral:rRNA from 1 species
CAGUCGCCGCGGUAACACGGAGGGUGCAAGCGUUACUCGGAAUCACUGGGCUUAAAGGACGCGUAGGCGGAUUAUCAAGUCUCUUGUGAAAUCUAACGGCUUAACCGUUAAACUGCUUGGGAAACUGAUAAUCUAGAGUAAGGGAGAGGCAGAUGGAAUUCUUGGUGUAGGGGUAAAAUCCGUAGAUAUCAAGAAGAAUACCUAUUGCGAAGGCGAUCUGCUGGAACUUAACUGACGCUAAUGCGUGAAAGCGUGGGGAGCAAACAGGAUUAGAUACCCGGGUAGUCCCUGUCUCUUAUAC